rnacentral:rRNA from 1 species
GAUGAACGCUGGCGGCGUGCCUAAUACAUGCAAGUCGAGCGAACAGACGAGGAGCUUGCUCCUCUGACGUUAGCGGCGGACGGGUGAGUAACACGUGGAUAACCUACCUAUAAGACUGGGAUAACUUCGGGGAACCGGAGCUAAUACCGGAUAAUAUAUUGAACCGCAUGGUUCAAUAGUGAAAGACGGUUUUGCUGUCACUUAUAGAUGGAUCCGCGCCGCAUUAGCUAGUUGGUAAGGUAACGGCUUACCAAGGCAACGAUGCGUAGCCGACCUGAGAGGGUGAUCGGCCACACUGGAACUGAGACACGGUCCAGACUCCUACGGGAGGCAGCAGUAGGGAAUCUUCCGCAAUGGGCGAAAGCCUGACGGAGCAACGCCGCGUGAGUGAUGAAGGUCUUCGGAUCGUAAAACUCUGUUAUUAGGGAAGAAAAAAUGUGUAAGUAACUAUGCACGUCUUGACGGUACCUAAUCAGAAAGCCACGGCUAACUACGUG